AUUGAACGCUGGCGGGAGGCCUAACACAUGCAAGUCGAACGAGUGGCGGACGGGUGAGUAAUGUCUGGGAAACUGCCUGAUGGAGGGGGAUAACUACUUGAAACGGUAGCUAAUACCGCAUACCAUCAGACGUGCCGAGAUGGGAUUAGCUAGUUGGUGGGGUAACGGCUCACCAAGGCCACGAUCCGUAGCUGGUCUGAGAUGAUGACCAGCCACACUGAAACUGAGACACGGUCCAGACUCCUACGGGAGGCAGCAGUGGGGAAUAUUGUACAAUGGGCGAAAGCCUGAUCCAGCCAUCCCGCGUGUAUGAUGAAGGCCUUCGGGUUGUAAAGUACUUUCAGCGGGGAGGCGUUACCCGCAGAAGAAGCACCGGCUAACUCCGUGCCAGCAGCCGCGGUAAUAC
rnacentral:rRNA from 1 species